GAAGGUAGCGUAAUCACUUGUUCUUUAAAUGAGGACUAGUAUGAAUGGCACCACGAGGGUUCAGCUGUCUCCUUUUUUUGAUCAGUGAAACUAAUCUCCCCGUGAAAAAGCGGGAAUUUACUUAUAAGACGAGAAGACCCUAUGGAGCUUUAAACAAAUUAACAUACGCUAUUACUUUAUUAUCUUAAGAGUUACAACAAAUAAUAUAGCAAUCUGAUUAAAAGUUUUCGAUUGGGGUGAUCACGGAGUAAAAAACAACCUCCACGUCGAACGGAUUAAAAUCCUGAACAAAAAGCUACAGCUUUAUGCACUAAUACAUUAACGCCUUUGACCCAUUUUUUGAUCAACGAACCAAGUUACCCUAGGGAUAACAGCGCAAUCUGCUUCGAGAGCCCCUAUCGACAAGCGGGUUUACGACCUCGAUGUUGGAUCAGGGUAUCC
rnacentral:rRNA from 1 species